AGAGUUUGAUCCUGGCUCAGGAUGAACGCUAGCGGCAGGCUUAACACAUGCAAGUCGAGGGGCAGCAUAAUGGAUAGCAAUAUCUAUGGUGGCGACCGGCGCACGGGUGCGUAACGCGUAUGCAACCUACCUUUAACAGGGGCAUAACACUGAGAAAUUGGUACUAAUUCCCCAUAACAUUCGAGAAGGCAUCUUCUUGGGUUAAAAACUCCGGUGGUUAAAGAUGGGCAUGCGUUGUAUUAGCUAGUUGGUGAGGUAACGGCUCACCAAGGCAACGAUACAUAGGGGGACUGAGAGGUUAACCCCCCACAUUGGUACUGAGACACGGACCAAACUCCUACGGGAGGCAGCAGUGAGGAAUAUUGGUCAAUGGACGCAAGUCUGAACCAGCCAUGCCGCGUGCAGGAUGACGGCUCUAUGAGUUGUAAACUGCUUUUGUACGAGGGUAAACGCAGAUACGUGUAUCUGUCUGAAAGUAUCGUACGAAUAAGGAUCGGCUAACUCCGUGCCAGCAGCCGCGGUAAUACGGAGGAUCCAAGCGUUAUCCGGAUUUAUUGGGUUUAAAGGGUGCGUAGGCGGUUUGAUAAGUUAGAGGUGAAAUUUCGGGGCUCAACCCUGAACGUGCCUCUAAUACUGUUGAGCUAGAGAGUAGUUGCGGUAGGCGGAAUGUAUGGUGUAGCGGUGAAAUGCUUAGAGAUCAUACAGAACACCGAUUGCGAAGGCAGCUUACCAAACUAUAUCUGACGUUGAGGCACGAAAGCGUGGGGAGCAAACAGGAUUAGAUACCCUGGUAGUCCACGCAGUAAACGAUGAUAACUCGUUGUCGGCGAUACACAGUCGGUGACUAAGCGAAAGCGAUAAGUUAUCCACCUGGGGAGUACGUUCGCAAGAAUGAAACUCAAAGGAAUUGACGGGGGCCCGCACAAGCGGAGGAACAUGUG
rnacentral:rRNA from 1 species